GACGAACGCUGGCGGCGUGCUUAACACAUGCAAGUCGAGCGGAGAAGCCCUGCUUUUGUAGGAUGCUCAAGUGGAGCAAACGGGAGUAAAACGUGAGUGACCUGCCCUUUACUUUGGGGUAACAUCAGUAGAAUCGGGCGCAUACCCCGUAUAAACUCCUUCAACACAGUGGGGAUGGUUAAAAUACGGCGUUUCGGCAUGGAAUCGCGGUUUAUCAGCGUGUUGGUGAGGUAGUGGCGUAACAAGGCUUUGACGGGUAGCCGGCCUGAGAGGGUGACCGGCCACAUUGGGAUUGAGAUACGGCCCAGACUCCUACGGGAGGCAGCAGUGGGGAAUAGUGCACAAUGGGCGGAAGCCUGAUGCAGCAACGCCGCGUGCGGGAUGACGGCUUUUGGGUUGUAAACCGCUUUCGCCUGUGACGAAGAGUGAGUGACGGUAAUGGGUAAAGAAGCAACGGCUAACUACGUG
rnacentral:rRNA from 1 species